rnacentral:rRNA from 1 species
CACCAGUGGUGAAGACGUCUGGUUAGAAUAGGUCCGACGGUGAGGGACGAAGGCUGGGGGCGCAAACCGGAUUAGAUACCCGGGUAGUCCCAGCAGUAAACGAUGCCAGCUAUGUGUUGCUGGAACCAUGGGUUCCAGCAGUGCCGAAGGGAAGCCGUGAAGCUGGCCACCUGGGAAGUACGGUCGCAAGGCUGAAACUUAAAGGAAUUGGCGGGGGAGUACCACAACCGGUGGAGCCUGCGGUUUAAUUGGAUACAACGCCGGGAAUCUUACCGGAGGGGACAGCAGUAUGAAGGCCAGGCUAAAGACCUUGCCAGAUCAGCUGAGAGGAGGUGCAUGGCCGUCGCCAGUUCGUACCCGUGAGGCAUCCUGUUUAGUCAGGCAACGAUCGAGACCCGCAGUCUUAUUUGCCAGCAUGCCCUUUGGGGGUGUAUGGGUACAAAUAAGACGACCGCCAGCGCUAAGCUUGGAGGAAGGAGCGGGCCUACGGUAGGUCAGCAUGCCCGAAAUCCUCCGGGAUACACGCGGG